GGUCGUGGUCCCUCACUUGCCCGGGGCAGGGGCCGGCCCGGAGGGGAGGGCGCGCGCGGGCCCGGCGGCCUGAGGCGUUUGUCCCAGCGUGGGAGCCGUAGCUGAGUCCCUCCGCGGCCACCGUAGCGCGGGCCUCACGCCCCCUCCGCCCGCGCCGACACUGCGGAACCUUGCUGUGCCCGCCUCGGGCCCGCGCGGGGCGUCCAGGAACUCGGCGCCGUCUCAGGAUGCGCGCUCGUAUGCGCGCCGCCGGCCGCUCCUGACGUCACCGCCCACGGACGCGGCGACCCUGUGUUGCGCAGGCGCAGGUUGGGGGUGGAACCCAGGGCCUGUACUUGGCAGAUCAGCUCUCUACUGCUGAGCUGUACCCCAGUCCACCCUCUCUCUUAAUUGAUGGGCUGUUCUAUAGGCUCUGUAGUCCACUGCUUCCUUGGCGCAGGAGCCAAUGGCCCUUCAUUCAGACCUGGAGAGCGCUGUCUAGAACACUUGGACUCCAGAACGACGAGAACUGAAGCAUGGAACAGAAAGGUUCCAUUUUCCCAGUGAGAAGCUCCUGACACCAACCGUGACAACCUCCUGCUGGCUUCAGCUGCACCUGAAGACCCCUGCCCACCUUCCAGCAUGGGACUCUGGCAGGAGGCGCUGCUGUAACAGCUGUGCUCUCUGGAGACAGACUUAUUCUCCUGAAAUCCAGCCAGCUGCUUCCUGCUAAGGGAAUUGGCCUCAAUCAGCAAAGGCAAAGGGUACCACCAGGUCGUGUCUCCCCAGCAUCCCCAUGAAACCUUCCCCUGGGGCUCAGAAGUCUCUGGGAUGUGGGUCCUGAGGUUGCCAAAAGCUGUUGAGCCCAGAGUUUCCUAGUAGCCAGGGGGUGAUAUUCCCUGAAAGUGAGGUGGGUGGGGUGGAGUGAGGAAUCUGUGUACUGGGGAGUUUGGAAGGUAAGAGUUCUGUGGCUGAAUGGCAGUGGUGGCAGGACAAUGCUGUGGUUGCACUUAAUGCCCCUGAACUAUGCAGUUACAAUGGUUAACAUAGUAACUCUGUGUUAUAUAAUCUACCAUAAUAAAAAGAAAAAAACAGGCCGGGCG